GACGAACGCUGGCGGCGUGCCUAAUACAUGCAAGUAGAACGCACAGUUUAUACCGUAGCUUGCUACACCAUAGACUGUGAGUUGCGAACGGGUGAGUAACGCGUAGGUAACCUGCCUGGUAGCGGGGGAUAACUAUUGGAAACGAUAGCUAAUACCGCAUAAUAUUAAUUAUUGCAUGAUAAUUAAUUGAAAGGUGCAAUUGCACCACUACCAGAUGGACCUUCGUUGUAUUAGCUAGUAGGUGAGGUAACGGCUCACCUAGGCGACGAUACAUAGCCGACCUGAGAGGGUGAUCGGCCACACUGGGACUGAGACACGGCCCAGACUCCUACGGGAGGGAGCAGUAGGGAAUCGUCGGCAAUGGACGAAAGUCUGACCGAGCAACGCCGCGGGAGUGAAGAAGGUUGUCGGAUCGGAAAGCUCUGUUGUAAGAGAAGAACGGGUGUGAGAGUGGAAAGUUCACACUGUGACGGUAUCUUAACAGAAAGGGACGGCUAACUACGUG
rnacentral:rRNA from 1 species